ACCAGAGAUGGCACAGGAGCAGUUGAGUAGAAUCAUCAUUGAAAGAUGGGCUGUACAUCUCUGAUCUGGGGAAAAUAAUAAUACUUUUUUUAAAAAAAGAUCGGCUGAACAUGGAAGAGGUUUACCCGUCAAACAAAAUUAUUUACUUCUACUUUUUGUUCAGUGACAAUACGAUUAAUCGUACUAAUAACAAAUAUGCAAAUGUUUCAUAUAAAAGUACAUAUUCUAGCAAACAUUACUAAACAGAAACCAAAUUCCAUCAGAACUUGGGGAAAAGGGCAAAAAAUAAAUAAAUUUUUAAAAGAAAGAAAUCAAAUAACAAAAAUGUGAAUUUUAAUGGAAUAUUGUUCCCCUAAAUAGGAAACUAUGUGGUACUUAAAAGGUUUUAUCCUCAGGAUGCCUUCUAAUAAUCCUUUGUGUUUAUUCAUUAUAAUCACCACCUGAAAAUUAGUAGCAGUAUACCAGCUUUAUUAAAGAUGUAUAGCACCAAA
rnacentral:lncRNA from 1 species